UGUUACACUUCUAUUCAUAUUUUACUGUUCCUCCAGACCACCUGAUUCAAAAUUUGAUUUUGGAGGAAUGGGUCAUUUCACACGUGUCCAUCCACCAUUGGUGGAUACAUUUGUUCCGACGUGUCGCAGGACCACCAAAUCUUACGUUGUCUGCCGUGAGAGCGAAAGAUACUCGGCCUCGUUCCUCGUGCCUCACUCGCAUCGUAAUACGUAUCCAACGCUCACUUUUUCUCUGGGACCCACUUUGAUUCACCACCCC
rnacentral:lncRNA from 1 species